AUUUAAAAACACGAGACACCUUUUCAUCGGCACAGCUCAAAAAUCCAAUUCGAGAAGGCAUACAGGAUAUAGAGGUUAAGUCAUAGCCAUGGAUCUGAGGUCGAGCCAUUUCAUGCCAAGCAUUAUCCUUUUUAAAACGUGCAAACAAUCUAGUAGUUUGAUCUGUGCCGGCGGAUAAAUAGAAUUUACCUUCAGGAUCCCAAGCAACGCCUUUCACUG